AGGCCCUGAAGGCAGGGACCCUGGAAUACUGCAGCAGGAAGGCACCUAGAACUCAUUAAGUCAGCCUCUCAUGUUAGGGAAGGGACCACUGAGGCCCAGAGAGGGAGGUGAGUUGCCCAGGUCACACAGCAGGUCCUGAGCCAAGCCUAGGUUGGUGACAUCUCUCUGGUGUGCCUGCUUUGGAGACACAGAAAACCCAGCGACAACUGCUGCCUGCUGCUGCUCCUUGCAUAUUAACAGCCCUGCUUCCCCUGCCUUCCCUCCCAGGCCACGUCCUGCUUCAAAGGCUUCCCUGCAGCCAUUCCUGGGGCUGAUGCUGUGGGCCUUCUAUUUUUGGUGGCAUGGUUGGCUUGGGGCAGGAGGCUGACAGCCUUGCUUCACCUGCCCUGAGCCCUCCCAGGGGCUCUCACAUCCUCUGUGUGACAGGGGAGGAACAACUCUGUGCAGAAUGAGUCUCUGUGGGAAGACUCACAUGUUCAGAACAAAAAUAAAAGGUGCCCGUGCCACGGCCUGCCCUUCCAAACACUUCAACCUCCACCCUCCUCCGCCCUUCACCACUCUCCCUCCGAAGAGCCAGGCAGGCUUCAAAGCCAGUUCCAGCUCCGUAAGGAAAUGACAAAAACUCCCAAAGGCUAGGGUCUCCCUGCCCACGUACCCAAAGACAUCCAGGAAAGGGACAAAGGAAACAGUGGGUCUGUUGACACCAAUGGGUAGGACCAGCAUGAAAACAGUAGUACAAAAGACCUGGUCACACAGGCUCAGCCACAGAGGCAGGUGCUCCUGUCCCCAGGUUACAGACAUGGAGACUGAGGCAAGCAAGAGUCCACACCUCAGCAUACGGUAGCAAGGCCUCUCAGAGCCUGCUCCACCCUCACCGCUGCCAUUCUUCUGGCCAUUCUUCCUUCCAUGUCCCCCUCCAGGCCUGUCCUUAAUCUGCUUAGCACAGUGGCUAGUGUAGGGUGACUAGUGUGGGGUGUCUGUGAAUAUUGCAUAAAUCAAUACUUUCAUGGCUCCAACAACAGCACUGAGCAUGUAUGGAAGUGCUAGGGAUCAAACACAGGGCCUCACCCAUGCUAGGCAAGUCCCCUACCACUGAUACACCCCCAGCCCGCUAUAUGGAAUUUCUUAAAAGUUAUCUAAAUGGCUUCCCUACCAGAGUUCCUCAUUUCUGCCACCUGAUGACUUCCAUUCCCAGACAAACUAAAGCCAAAGUCCUAGACUAUGGGUCCCUGUUCAUCCCUGAGCAGACAGAUCCUGCUGUAGAGAGCUGAAGAUAGGCCUGUUUCCAUCUUCCCACUUUUGUCCAGAUGAGGGACUCUUUAUCUGCUGCCACUCCCUCACUUUCUUUCCUACAAGCUAAUAAAAAAACCCUUCUAAGAUAUGAUUCAAGAAAAUAUCUUUUAUGCAGUCUUUUCUGACAACUCCCAUCCCAUACCAAUUAGAACUAAAAACCCUUUUUGUGAUCCAACACCACCCCUGUUCAUAUCCACCCAGCAGCAGCUCCUCUGAAGGUGGGGCUCACAUCUGGGAUCUGCAUCUUUAGGUCUGGCACAGGCCUGCCUUCAGUAGACACUCCACUCUGCUCCCUGGGAGUAUCUCUGGGGAGAAGCCACUCCCAUGUGGCUGAGACUGUCAGGAUCAGGGAUUUCUCCUUCCGAAGGGAGAAUCACCCACCUCUUGGGGGAGAUAGGAGCAGAGAGGAGACCCCUGGGUGAAAGGACCUGUACAAUUUUAGAGAAAGAAAGAACAGGAGACAUCAGUGUGGCCCCACGGGGAACCCAACCCGCUGGCAUCCUGCACCAGGACAGAGCACAAAACCUUACCCCUCCUCCUGCCUUUUAUCUUGGGAAACCAUAAAGCCCACUCUGUAGGCCAGCAACCUGUAGGAAGGCACAAAGGGGCCACAGUGGUUGUUUGGCCUUCCUCUCUGGUCUGUCUGGGCCUCUGGGCUAAAGAGAGAGUUCUUUCAGUUUCUUCUGGUCCCAGCUCCACCCCUGGUGAGACACCCCUGGGUGAGUCACCCCUGGAUUACUCCUGGGCCCACCCUCCAAAGGAGUCCACAAGUGUGGCUGCCACUGGUCUGCCCACAUUCCUCUCUGCAGCCAGGGCCAAAGGCAGAAGCUUAUCUCCCCUAGCCUUGCCACCUUCCCACCCUACACCCAGUCCUGUGGCUCGACCUUUCCCCAUCCUCCUGAUCUCCCUACUUCUUGUCACAUCUGUUACGAAGCCCUAGUCCAAAUUCCCAUCAGGUCUUAGUCACACUACUGCAAAAGCUUCCUGAAUAUCCUGUCACGUGCUACGAUAUGGAUGAACCUAAGGACACCACGCUGGGGGAGAUGGGCCAGUCAUAAAAGGACAAACCCUGCACGAUUCUACUAACACAAGGGAUUGAACUCGGGUCCUUGCACUUCCGAGACAGGCAGUGGAACCACUGAGCUAAAUUCCCAGCCCCAAAGAUGAUUUUAACGAAAAAAAAAAACAAAACCUCUGAAAUGCUGUCUCUACUUCCUGCUUGACCUCUAUUUAACUAAAGUGGACAUUUCUCAAUACAGAUCUGAUAAAGGCAAGCUUCUGUUUUCCUUUCUUCAAUGAGCCAGUGAGCCACAGCACCCCAAGGUAGUUGGAGAGCACAUAACCCCAGUAGGGAGGGCCUACAGCCUCUUCCACUUUGAAGAAGCUAUAGAAGACAGAGACCUCAGCACCCCAUAAAGAAUUAUGUGUCUCUCAGGGGAAAUGAGACAGGAGAUUAGGGUGUGGCAAAACUGGCUGAGAAGUAGGGGUGACCUGUUAAUUACAAGAUGUGCAGAACAGUUCCCAAAGCCCUGCACCUGGACUUCUUUCAAAAACUCAAGCAGGUUUUCAACAGGGUGGCCUAGACCUGACCCAACCUGGGGCAUGGGAUCCCAGCACCACUCUCAGGACUCAUGUGUAGAAGUUCUCUCAGGUUUCCUCGAGAUGUGGACAGCAUGAAAGGACACAGACACCAAGAAGAGCUCACUAUUGUGGCUUUCCUCCCCAUAGCCCACCUCGCAUCUUCCAGGGUGUACUUUUAUCUUGCCUUUUUCCUCCUUUGCUUGAUCCAAGCUCACUCUGCAGAGCCACAGAGCCAGUUUCUUUCUCCCUCACUCUUUCUUCACUUUUAUUUUUUCAAAU
ensembl:lncRNA